UGCAAUGUCUAAGUAUAAGCAACUAUACUGUGAAACUGCGAAUGGCUCAUUAAAUCAGUUAUCGUUUAUUUGAUAGUACCUUACUACUUGGAUAACCGUGGUAAUUCUAGAGCUAAUACAUGCUAAAAACCUCGACUUCGGAAGGGGUGUAUUUAUUAGAUAAAAAACCAAUGCCCUUCGGGGCUCACUGGUGAUUCAUAAUAACUUAACGAAUCGCAUGGCCUUGUGCCGGCGAUGGUUCAUUCAAAUUUCUGCCCUAUCACCUUUCGAUUGUUGGAUAGUGGCCAACAAUGGGUUCAACGGGUAACGGGGAAUUAGGGUUCUAUUCCGGAGAGGGAGCCUGAGAAACGGCUACCACAUCCAAGGAAGGCAGCAGGCGCGCAAAUUACCCAAUCCCGACACGGGGAGGUAGUGACAAUAAAUACUGAUACAGGGCUCUUUUGGGUCUUGUAAUUGGAAUGAGUACAAUUUAAAUCCCUUAACGAGGAACAAUUGGAGGGCAAGUCUGGUGGACAUUGGCGUCCUGAGGUGUUAAAACCUCUUAUUGCUGACGCCAGAAAGAGAAGAACUUCGGUUCUACUAGUCGACUAUACUACAAGCUUUGGGUGUAUAGCGGCAAGACAACCUGGAUCGGGGGAGGCUAAGGGCGCAAGCCUAUGCUAACCCCGAGCCGAGCUACUGGAGGGCAACCCCCAGAUAGCCGGUGUAGAGCGCGGAAAGGUGUCGGUCAUCCUAUCUGAUAGGUGGCUUGAGGGACGUGCCGUCUCAUCCGAAAGGGUGUUUCUAAGGAGGAGCUCCCAAAGGGCAAAUCUUAGAAAAGGGUGUAUACCCUAUAAUUUAACGGCCAGCAGCCGCGGUAAUUCCAGCUCCAAUAGCGUAUAUUAAAGUUGUUGCAGUUAAAAAGCUCGUAGUUGAACCUUGGGCCUGGCUGGCCGGUCCGCCUCACCGCGUGCACUGGUCCGGCCGGGUCUUUCCUUCUGGGGAGCCGUAUGCCCUUCACUGGGUGUGUCGGGGAACCAGGACUUUUACUUUGAAAAAAUUAGAGUGUUCAAAGCAGGCCUAUGCUCGAAUACAUUAGCAUGGAAUAAUAGAAUAGGACGUGUGGUUCUAUUUUGUUGGUUUCUAGGACCGCCGUAAUGAUUAAUAGGGAUAGUCGGGGGCGUCAGUAUUGCGUUGUCAGAGGUGAAAUUCUUGGAUUUACGCAAGACUAACUACUGCGAAAGCAUUCGCCAAGGAUGUUUUCAUUAAUCAGUGAACGAAAGUUAGGGGAUCGAAGACGAUCAGAUACCGUCGUAGUCUUAACCAUAAACUAUGCCGACUAGGGAUCGGGCGAUGUUAUCUUUUUGACUCGCUCGGCACCUCACGAGAAAUCAAAGUCUUUGGGUUCUGGGGGGAGUAUGGUCGCAAGGCUGAAACUUAAAGAAAUUGACGGAAAGGCACCACCAGGCGUUAGCAACUCUGCGCCGAACAGCAGCCCGGAAGGUCGGUGGUGCCUAUAACAUGCUAGUCUUGGGCUCACCCCCAAGGCGACACCCCUAAAUUGCGGGAACUCCCUAAAGCUCUCGCUACCGCCCCGGCGCCGAAAGGCUGGCAGGCACCGGGUUAACAACCACGGGUAUGGUCAAAACGCGAGAGAUGUCACAAUGGGUAAUCCGCAGCCAAGUCCCUACCGGCCCGUACGGCCCAGGGGAAAGGUUCAGAGACUAAAUAGGGAUGGGCGAUCUGGUAUCGCUUAAGAGAUAGUCCGGCGGUAGGUCAACACCUACGACGAAUAAACGGGAGCCUGCGGCUUAAUUUGACUCAACACGGGGAAACUCACCAGGUUAACUACAGUUACGUCUGGGCCUGGAAUAGUUAUUUGACAACUAGUACACGCCUUUACUUGUGUGGGAGAAGUCUCCCAAUUUUGGACACAAGGCCUUUCAGGAGGGUUUGGCGGUGCGACACUACCUGGUACAGGGGACGCCUCGCUGGAGUGAUCCGGCAGGCCGACUCUGUGGCGAGCUCGAGUAACGUCGAGCCGUCGCAACGGCGGGAAAGGAGUGGGUUCGGUGGAUCU
rnacentral:rRNA from 1 species